AAUUGAAAGGCCUGGAACGGCCUGCCAUAGACGGUGACAGCCCGGUAAAUGAAAUUCUGCUGACUCCGACGGGUACCCUGAGUACCGCGGGACACGUGAAAUCCCGUGGGAAUCUACGAGGACCAUCUCGUAAGGCUAAAUACUCUCUAGCGACCGAUAGUGAACCAGUACCGUGAGGGAAAGGUGAAAAGCACCCCUGUGAGGGGAGUGAAAGAGUUCCUGAAACCGUAUGCCUACAAGCAGUGGGAGGGCUAUGCCGGACUUCGGUCCGGAAUGCCUGACCGCGUGCCUUUUGCAUAAUGAGCCGGCUAGUUAUUCUCAGUGGCGAGGUUAAGCGUAAGCGAGCCGCAGCGAAAGCGAGUCCGAAAUGGGCGUUCAGUCGCUGGGAAUAGACGCGAAGCGAGGUGAUCUACCCUUGGCCAGGAUGAAGUACGGGUAACACCGUAUGGAGGUCCGAACCAGUGUUGGUUGAAAACAGCUUGGAUGAGCUGAGGGUAGGGGUGAAAGGCUAAUCAAACCUCGUGAUUGCCCGUUCUCCUCGAAAUGCUUUUAGGAGCAGCCUCGGGAGGUCGGCGUUGGUGGUAGAGAACUGGAUGGACUAGGGGGCUUACCAGCUUACUGAAUCCAACCAAACUGCGAAUGCCAACGACACGUAUCCCGGGAGUGAGACGGUGGGGGCUAAGCUUCAUCGUCGAAAGGGAAACAGCCCAGACUACCGGCUAAGGUCCCUAAGUGUGUGCUAAGUGGUAAAGGAUCUGGAGACGCUUAGACAACCAGGAGGUUGGCUUAGAAGCAGCCAUCCUUUAAAGAAAGCGUAAUAGCUCACUGGUCAAGCAGCCCUGCGCCGACAAUAUAACGGGGCUCAAACCACGUACCGAAGUUUCGGAUUCAUGUAGCAAUACAUGGAUGGUAGGCGAGCAUUCCGUAGCUGUGAAGCGGUACCGAAAGGGCCGUUGGAGCGAUCGGAAAAGACUCUGUCGGCAUAAGUAGCGAUAACGCGGGUGAGAACCCCGCGCGCCGUAAACCUAAGGUUUCCUGAGUAAAGUUAAUCUGCUCAGGGUUAGUCGGUACCUAAGGCGAGGCCGAAAGGCGUAGUCGAUGGAAAUCCGGUUAAUAUUCCGGAACCACUAACGUGUGCUGUGGGAGGACGCAGUAGGGUAGGCGAGACGGCGGAUGGAUGUGCCGUUGAACUCACCAUAGCCCGCCGCUCAGGCAAAUCCGGGCGGCAUCAGGGUAAAGGUAGGGACGAAAGUAGGGGUAAAACCCGAAAAAAGUCGCUGACCCCAGCUGCCAAGAAAAUUCUCGUUCAGCUAUACACGCGACGUGACCGUACCGCAAACCGACACAGGUAGGUGGGGUGAGAAUCCUAAGGCGCUUGUGAGAACUCUCGUUCAGGAACUCGGCAAACUAGCCCCGUAACUUCGGGAAAAGGGGUGCCAUCCUCCGGGAUGGUCGCAGAGAAAUGUCCCAGGCGACUGUUUACUAAAAACACAGGUCUCCGCAAAGUCGUGAAGACGACGUAUGGGGGCUGACGCCUGCCCAAUGCUGGAAGGUUAAGAGGAGUGGUCAGCCGCAAGGUGAAGCUACGAAUCGAAGCCCCAGUGAAUGGCGGCCGUAACUAUAACGGUCCUAAGGUAGCGAAAUUCCUUGUCGGGUAAGUUCCGACCUGCACGAAUGGCGUAACGAUCUGG
rnacentral:rRNA from 1 species